rnacentral:rRNA from 1 species
UACGUAGGGGGCAAGCGUUGUCCGGAAUUAUUGGGCGUAAAGAGCGCGUAGGCGGUCCGAUAAGUCGGCUGUGAAAGUCAGGGGCUCAACCCUUGAAAGCCGGCCGAUACUGUCGGACUAGAGUCCGGAAGAGGCGAGUGGAAUUCCCGGUGUAGCGGUGAAAUGCGCAGAUAUCGGGAGGAACACCAAUGGCGAAGGCAGCUCGCUGGGACGGUACUGACGCUGAGGCGCGAAAGCGUGG